rnacentral:rRNA from 1 species
AUUGAACGCUGGCGGCAGGCCUAACACAUGCAAGUCGAGCGAGCGGCGGACGGGUGAGUAAUGUCUGGGAAUCUGCCUGAUGGAGGGGGAUAACUACUGGAAACGGUAGCUAAUACCGCAUACUAUCAGAUGCGCCCAGAUGGGAUUAGCUAGUAGGUGGGGUAAAGGCUCACCUAGGCGACGAUCCCUAGCUGGUCUGAGAGGAUGACCAGCCACACUGGAACUGAGACAGGGCCCAGACUCCUACGGGAGGCAGCAGUGGGGAAUAUUGCACAAUGGGCGCAAGCCUGAUGCAGCCAUGCCGCGUGUAUGAAGAAGGCCUUAGGGUUGUAAAGUACUUUCAGCGGGGAGGCGUUACCCGCAGAAGAAGCACCGGCUAACUCCGUGCCAGCAGCCGCGGUAAUUC